rnacentral:lncRNA from 1 species
AAGAAGCUAAGAAGGCUGCAGCUUCCACCGGGCCUCUUGGGCUGCGUACUCUUGACACUCCUGCUCUGAGAACUAAGCAGGCAUAUUUCAUAUCAAAAUAGUAAAGAACUUCCUUUCCAAAGGCAGGACUUGCUUCUGUGAGGUACUGAGCCACCCGUCCCUGGAGGAAAGCAAGAAUAGAGCAGAUCAGAGCCCAGGAAGACAUCUUGGAUGAUGGGGUACAUCUUGCCAUCCAGAGGCAAUGCUGGAGCGGGCAGUUGUCUGCGGGGAGGCCCUGGCUCACUCUGGGCCAAAUAACAGGACUGAUUGCAGCCAGCGAUGAAACAUCCUGUUUCUCCCAACCAGAAACAGGAGAGAAGAGCCCCAGUGAGAGAGUGAAGCAGAUGAAAAGAUAACAUGAAAACCAACCAAGCAACGAACAAACAAACAAAAUAACCCAUUUCAAGUUCUCGGAGCCUGGUCUCAUUUCCAGCUGGAAAUUACUGCUGCAGACUGCAGGGUGGUCCCUGCACUCCCUGUGUAUAUGAUCUAGUGGUUGCUAAUGUC